AAAAAGAAAGGGAGAGCUGGUGGUGAUUGCGAAAAACGGUUGGAGCACGCGUGGCUGUCUUUUGCCCAGCACGCGGCGGAAUUCAUGGAGGAUGAAAAAGAUGGUUGUCGGCAUUGAGUGUCGGGAUGACGAAAUCGCUGGGUAGGAAAGGAUUUCCGGGAGCUCAACGGUCAAAGGAGUUUGAAAACAACUUUUAGCGGGUGAUUUAAGUUGGUAAUUUUUACAGAUGUUAC
rnacentral:lncRNA from 1 species